CCUGGGCGGCUGGAACGUCUCGGCAGCGCUGCCCUGCUCCAUCUGCACCGACCCGCCACCGGCGGCGCCACCGUCGCUCAAGCCCAACAUCACCUGGACGCUGGGUAAUGAGAGCGCCAUCUACGACUGUCUGGACGAGAAGUCGUUCAGCUGGGGGCAGCGCCAUUUCGAGCUGACCUGCUCACCCGAAGGCUGGGCCUGCGUGCCCACCUGUGACUACUGCCUGGAGCCGGCCAGAGGACCGGCAGGCACCUACCUGGAGACGUUCGGCUCGCUGCCGGGGACCACGGCCAAGCACGUGUGUGACCC